UUAAGUGACGAUAGCCUAGGAGAUACACCUGUACCCAUGCCGAACACAGUAGUUAAGCCCUAGAACGCCUGAAGUAGUUGGGGGUUGC
rnacentral:rRNA from 1 species